CAAUAGCAUAUAUUAACGUUGUUGCAGUUGAAAAGCUCGUAGUUGAACUUUUGGUAGGAGCGACCUGGCCUUGGGCGCAUGCCCUUGUUUGCCGUGUGUCGUGUCUGGCCAUCCUUUUCUUCGUUUUUCGGAGGAAUCUUUUACUGUGAGUAAACUGGAGUGCUCAAAACAAGACGUUUGUUUGGUACAUUAAAGCAUGGAAUAAUAAGAUAGGACCUGGUUACUAUUUUGUUGGUUUGCAUAGCUAGGUAAUGAUUAACAGGGACAGUUGGGGGUAUUCGUAUUUAAUUGUCAGAGGUGAAAUUCUUGGAUUUAUGAAAGACGAACGACUGCGAAAGCAUUUACCAAGGAUGUUUUCAUUAA
rnacentral:rRNA from 1 species